UUUCACUUUCAUACAGAGGAGGGGAAACAGGAGAAACGGGAACAACGGGCCAGGGAGACGAAGCAACUAAUUUGGGGAAAAAUUUCAACUUUUUAGCUUCUUCAAGUUCAAAAUCUUUAAAUUUUUCUAUUGUGUUUAUCCUGAUCUCAAGAGGAAAAGAAUUGGAACAUCUUCAUCCAAUCCAGCUACUGGAAAAAACGGUGAGAGCUAUACUCUGCUUAGAAAAGAGGUAUUGCAACACUUAUAACUAGUAAGAGCAGUGAUAACUUAUUAGUAGAAGAAAAAAGUGGAAACUAAUCUAGUGGGGAAGAAAAAGGUGAUGAAAGUGAAAAUAACGUAAAUAGCACAAAUUCAAGCGAAAAAGAAACAGAUGAUGAGAGUGAUGGAGAUAAAUCUGGUGGAGAAGAAAAAAGUGAUGAAAGUGGAAGUGAAAGUGAUGGCGAUAAAUCUAGUGGAGAAGAAAAAGGUGAUCAAAGUGAAAGUGAAAGUGAACAAUUAGUUGAAAAAGAAGAAGAAGAUCUUGAAUCCUCUCCAGAUCAUGUCAAAAUAAUUUUCAAUGAUGGACCUUUUCCAUUCAAGAAACUAGGUAGCAUGUAUUCUGCAACGACCUCCGCUAAAGCAUGUAGAUGAUGACUUGUAACAUGUUGUGCUCCACAUGAGUGAAUGUUGCGGUAUCGUUUAAUUUCAAAUCUAUUGCAACUUUGAAGUUUUGUUGCUCUCAACCACCAAUCACAAUUUUGAUCUACACAUCUAGCACAAUACACAUCUUUAGAACUCUUCACUGAUUUCAGUCUUUGAUCUUUCUUCACAGAAGCAAGCUUUAACAAUUUAGUUAAUUCUCGCUUGUCCUUGAAAAUUUUACCUUUAUAAAAACAUGUGCUGUCAUCAUCCAUUUGGCUUUAUGUUUGUAUACAAUGUUGAGAAGCGUUCUCGUUUAUGGAAAUAUCAA